rnacentral:misc_RNA from 1 species
GGAAAGUAAAAGUCGUAACAAGGUUUCCGUAGGUGAACCUGCGGAAGGAUCAUUAAAGAAUGUCCCGUUUUUCGAAAUGGGUUCUAUUCCCAAACCGUGUCUACAUACCUUUGUUGCUUUGGCGGGCCGCCUUCGGGCGUUGGCCUCGGCUAAUUGUGCCCGCCAGAGGACCCAAACUCGUUUUGUUUAGUGAUGUCUGAGUACUAUAAAAUAGUUAAAACUUUCAACAACGGAUCUCUUGGUUCUG